UGGGGGAUAUUGCACAAUGGGCGAAAGCCUGAUGCAGCGACGCCGCGUGGGGGAUGAAGGCUUUCGGGUUGUAAACCUCUUUCGCUAUCGAACAAGGCCCGCUUAGGGUGGGUUGAGGGUAGGUGGAGAAGAAGCGCCGGCUAACUACGUGCCAGCAGCCGCGGUAAUACGUAGGGCGCGAGCGUUGUCCGGAAUUAUUGGGCGUAAAGGGCUUGUAGGCGGCUUGUUGCGCCUGCUGUGAAAACGCGGGGCUUAACUUCGCGCGUGCAGUGGGUACGGGCAGGCUUGAGUGUGGUAGGGGUGACUGGAAUUCCAGGUGUAGCGGUGGAAUGCGCAGAUAUCUGGAGGAACACCAGUGGCGAAGGCGGCUCUCUGGUCUGUAACUGACGCUGAGGCUCGAAAGCGUGGGGAGCAAACAGG
rnacentral:rRNA from 1 species